UCAUCUUCUGUGUUUUCAUGUAGAAACAAGACAAACCAGCAUGUGUUAAUUAGAAAACAUGUCUGAGAAAGAUAAGAUAAUGUGAACAACAAAAAAGUGACAUUUACUGAGACCAUCAUUCAUCUCUCUGCUCCUCCCUCUCUCCUGCCAUGUAACUUAUGAGUGAGGAAAAUCUGAGAAAAGGUGUAUCAUUGCUCUCCAAACAUAUGGGGGAUAAAGGAAGAUACGAAAAACAUCAAAAGGAAAGCUACUUAAAGAAGAACUCAAAAUCAGGCAUACCCAGCUGCUCUUACAAGUACUUCUGGGACAUUUCCAAAGCAGCUGCGGGAGGUAGAUCUGUGUCCUGUCUGUGCAGUUCUACUUUUGUUUCUAUUACA